GUGUCACACGGAACUGCCGGUCGAUAAACCGGAGGAAGGUGGGGAUGACGUCAAGUCAGCAUGGCCUUUAUAUCCUGGGCUACACACACGCUACAAUGGGAAGGGACAAUAGGUUGCGAAGCCGCGAGGCGGAGCCAAUCCAGCAAAACUUCCCUCAGUUCAGAUUGCAGGCUGCAACCCGCCUGCAUGAAGUUGGAGUUGCUAGUAAACGCAGGUCAGCCAUACUGCGUUGAAUACGUUCCCGGGGCUU
rnacentral:rRNA from 1 species